GAACUAUGCAGACUUAACACCUUUCAAGGACUCUCUUCUUCUUCAUGGAAUUUGAGUUUUUCCUACAGCUUUAUCACAGCUUUACUUUGCUCUUUACAUCUUGGUUCUUUUUAGUUACUGUGUGUUUUAACAACUGAAUAGUGUAAACAUUGCAUGGUGGUGGUGUGUGCCUUUUUUUUUGGUUCAGGGUUUUGCUUUUGCUAAAAGUUGGAUGUUCCAAACGGAUGUUGGAACAUAUUAAAACAUGCCUGGGAUGAAUUCAUUCGUCCAUUUUAUUGUGUUCUGUAUUCGAUCACAACUGGACUGUUCAGGUUGUCUCAGGAGACCUGUUUUUCUCAGUUCAUGCUAAGUGACUAGGUAGGACAGCUCUAGUCUUGACGAGAUAGGACGGAUGAGCUGUAUGUGUGUUUUUCCUCGCUAUGAACUGGUGAUGGUGGUUAUGACACAGGGCCGCACGGUGGCUGAGUGGUUAGCUUGUUGGCCACACAGUCAGGAGAUCGGGAAGACCUCGGUUCGAAUCUCCGCUUGGGAGUCUCUGUGUGGAGUUUGCAUGUUCUCCCCGUGUGUGCGUGGGUUUUCUCCAGGUGCUCUGGUUUCCUCCCACAUUCCAAAAAUGCACGUUAGGUAUGAAUGUGAGUGUGAAUGGUUGUUUGUCUAUAUGUGCCCUGUCAUUGGCUGGCGACCAGUCGCCCAAAGUCAGCUGGGAUAGGCUCCAGCAUACCCCCGCGACCCUAGUGAGGAUAAGCAGCAUAGAAAAGGGACGGAUGGGUUAUGACACAUUCUCUAUUUGCGUUCUGUCUUUAGACUAGUCUAGUCUAGUCUUGACUAGCUAGGACAGAUGAGCUGUCCUACCUUGUCUCUGAGUAUGAACAGAUAAAGCCUGCUCGGACAAGCGGUGAAACGUCUUCUAACACAACCUGAACAGUCCAGAGUUGCGAUGGAUUCAAUGCCCUGAGAGAACAUAUUAAAAGUUUUGUAGGGAAUGGAAAAGGUGUUGGUGUUGCCUGAGGGACAGUACGUGGAAUACCGUUGAAAGCAGAUUGCAGCAUGGCUGUUUCUACUGAGUUUCAAUGUAGUACGCAAGUCAUUUUAGAAACAUAUACUCUCCCGAUGACAGCGCAUUGCAAGCUGCUUAGUACUACUUCAGCCAAUCGGAAACCGGAAAAGGCAGCAGCAAACCACAGUGGCUGUACAUUCUUUGUACUCUGCGCUCUCGAGCUUGCUAGGCAUGUUUUUGUCAGCUCUCUGCAAGCUGCCACCUUUUUUAGCAUGUUUUUUCCGCACUACUAACUGGUGAUGGUGGCUAUGACACAGUUCACUGUGCAUUCUGUCUUUAGAAGCCUGUAUUAUUAUUCUUAUUAUUUUGCGGGCUUCUUUUCUGCCUGCUCAUGCGUACACACUUAUGUUGACUGGUGGUUAUGGAUUGCAGCUAUCGGAGGGGUCACUCCAACAGUGAGGCUACCAAAGAUGGGGAGGGAGUGGUGCUGUCGGUAAGAAGCUAGUGAGUGUGGCCGUCCUGUUGGCCCAACAUUACUAGAAACAGGAAGAGGACUUUUAACUGGUGUCCAGUGAACGUGUCCCCCCACACCCCACAGGCUACACAUCUGAGGGUCUUGUGACGCUCUUUGAUAGUUCAAUAAAUUGAACCUAAAUCUCGCUUAUGUUUGGAGCAGCCUGCGCUAUCACGAGAGAUUCCUCGUGUUUGGGCUUCAAGCUGUAAGACAUUUCAGUACAAUUUUCCUCACUCUGAUUCUUUAUAGCGGCUGUUUUGGGUUUUUUUUUUUUCCCCUUAACUUAAAUACAUAAGUUAUCUCAUGUAAUGUCUUUAUCAUACUGGUUCUAAUCCCUCAAGGGAAAUUCUAUUUUCACUCUGUUGCACACAAUACACACAUGCAGGAAUGAUGUCCCUGUGAUGGGGCGCCCAAACAGGUCUGCCUCAGUGGGCUGCUCUCAGGAAGCGGACGAGCAUCUCUCCAACAAUUAACUAUGCCGACAGUGACAUCCAUGACCCUUUGUUUCCAAAGUGCAAGUCCGAUCCAGACUGAGCCGCUGCUGAUGAAACUGUCAUGCCCGUCUUUAAUUAGAAGGGGUUUGCAGCCAAUGGCCUCGUGCUUCUGGAUAGAAGACUCUGCUUUCCCCAGCAGGGUUCCAAUGAGAUCUCUGAGGAGGUGGUUUUUGUUUUCAUGCACUUCGUGUUAGCUUGUGGUCUUUUUUUUUUUCUUCCUUUCUUGCCAAUGAAAUGAAUGAAUGAAAUUAUUGUGAACCCAGAAAUGCUCAAAUUAAUUGAAAGAAAAAUUGAAAUAAUUGAAUCAUAUCCCUUCAAGUGUUUCCUACACUGAUGUAAAGUAAUAAUGGAAGAAACAUGCUUGGUUUCUUCAUGAAUGAAUGUACACUAUGCAGUGUAACAACUGAUUGACCUGCACUUUUUGCUUUUUAAAAAAUACAUUAUUUGCAGUGAGUGGAGGUGUUUGUGGGGGUUGUACGCCAACAUUCUUUGUCACUGCUGGACUGCCAAUAAGAGACUGUGUAUAUUGAAUGUACGUUGAUUUUUUUUUUUGGCAUGUUGUCAUGCUGCAUAGACUUUUGCACUGCACUUUUUUUUUUUGUUUGAUGCUAAACAACGAAAUAAAAAUGAAACUUA